GUGAUUCCCCAGCUUGGGGCAAAGCGGAGGGGAGGCCGGCUUCAAAGCCUCUCUCAGCCUGUGGAAAAGCGCAGUCUGGAGUGGGGUGGCUGCCAAGUCUGCUGCAUGAAUGUUCAUUUUACUUGGCUUGUGGUCAAACAACAGCAAAAAACCAGGUUAGGGAUUUACUAAGCUGGCCUUGGAGGGAUGUGUGAGCUGCCCGCAGAAGUUUCAAAGCCACUGGAUGAAAUGAAGGGUGAAAGAUAUUUUUACAAACAGGCAUAGUUAUCCCAUCUUGCUGUAACCCUCCCUCUGUGAGUUUUUUCUCUCUGGGGAGAUGUUAACGGGGCAGGAUUCCAGUUUAGAGGAGAAGGGGAGUCCUCGGCAGCAGCCUGCUCUGUCCUGGAUCGGCCAAGUGGAUUCCUCUGUGGGAGAGAGAGGAGUCCAGUUUCUAUGACGAUCCACAGCUGCUCUGCCAAGACUGCCAGCCGAGGUCCCUGGCGGUGCUAAUUGCUAUGCGGACAUCCGUUCAUUAGACUUUGACCUAGAAUUACCAUCAUCUUUCACAAGAAUUCUAGAGAGGACUACAGAUGUUGAAUGCUUUACUUUGCUUAGCUGGAGAUGGAAAACACUAGGAGGAGGUACGUUCAGGUGUAUCCUACCCAAAGAAGUAAAACCAAUGGCCAAGAAUAAACAUUUAUUGAGCACCUAAUAUAUGCCAGAUACUGAGGACAUAGAUAGUAAUAUAAAAACUGUGGCUGUGAAUUAUUUACAAUAGCCAAGACGUGGAACCAACCUACAUGCCCAGAAACUGAUGAUUGGAUAAAGAAGAUAUGGUAUAUAUACACAAUGGAAUACUACUCAGCCAUAAAAAGGGACAAAAUUGGCCCAUUCACAGCAACGUGGAUGGACCUCGAGGGUAUUAUGUUAAGCGAAAUAAGCCAGUCAGAGAAAGACGAACUCUAUAUGACUCCACUCAUAGGUGGAAUUUAGUAUAUUGACAAGGAGAUCUGAUCGGUGGUUACCAG
rnacentral:lncRNA from 1 species